AAUCAAGUUUCCAGAAGGAAUGGCCUUCGAAGAUCAAGCAACUGCCCCUUUCCUAUCAUCUACAGACUAGAUAAACACAAACAUAUCUGUUAUCAGCACACAAAAAAAAAUGAGAACUGGUUGAGCAGCAGAAGCGGAAAACCUAACCUUAAUUUCACAACUGUUAAAUGCUACAUAGUUCAUACGAGAAGUAAGGUUAAAUCAAAUCCCAAAAUCAGUCAGACCACACUGGUGCAACCCAUGAGGCUAAUAAAUCACAAUAUCAAGCUAAAAUAGGCAAAUAAAAUCUGAUUAAAUGCCUGCAUACACACUGACCUGGAAGAGUAAAAAUGUUAAAGCAACAAGGUAAAUGCAGAUUGAGGAAAACUUUCAUAAAUUCAAAUAAACUAGACGAAUUUAGUUCAAAUAAACUAGACGAAUUCGGUUCAAAUAAACUGGACGAAUUUAGAUGACAACAAACCCUAGAAACUAAUUUUUAGAUGACAAUAUAUCUAAAUCGAGAGAUUGAGGAAAAUUUUACCAGAGAGAAUCGGAGAAAUCGGACUCCGGCUGGCGAGGCCAGCUCGCGGUGGCCGUCUGAACUCUGGGGGAGGCUGGGGGCGCGGCUGGACCCUGGGGCGACUGGAAAGGCCAGGCAGGGGCUCAGCCCUAUGCGCGACUGUGCGGUGCAGUCUCUGCAAGGAGGGGUGGCAGGGGGCGCACGGCUGAAGCGAGAGCGGCGCGCGGUGGCAGGUAGAAGGGACGAAGUGGGCGAAGGCGGGGGGGGGGGGAGAUUGAUUCUAAGGAAGAAGAUGAUUUGGUGAUUUGGG
rnacentral:lncRNA from 1 species